rnacentral:tRNA from 1 species
GGGCACAUAGCUCAGUUGGUAGAGCGUUCCGUUCACAUCGGAAAGGUCUCUGGUUCAAAUCCAGAUGUGCCCACCA